AUGAUUAUGAUUCAAGGAGGAAGUACAAAAUGGUAUUAAGGCUCUCUUCCUCCACCCUUAAAAAUGUGGGUGAAGAUAAGCUACAUUUUCCCAGAAUCUGCUCAAAACAAGACAAAAGCAAUGUACUGAGCCAGGUGAGGAAGAAAGGCAGUGCACCCCACAGACAAGACUGCCCUGGUUGUACGGUGCUACAACAUGAUCUCAGUUGCUGUUAAAUAAGUUUCGCAAGAAACUGAAGAAUGGAAAGACAAGAGAUGAGGAACAAGUUUCAGAGAACAGAAGGAAUUUGUCUUGGGCUGCACAGUCACUAAGGAGAGAGCAGGCACCCAAACUGUGCCAUUCCCUGUCCUCUUGGGAGCUAUACUCUUCUGUAUCCCUGCUUCUGUUCAACGUAUCUGGCUCAAGAGACAUUUACAAAGGAAGGAAACACUCGUUGUAUGAAAAACAAACAUGAUAUAAACCUGUUUCGUUAGCUUUCAAGACUACCCUACCCAGGGGUGGCUACCCUAAAGAGAAUAGCAAAGUUGAUAAGAGAAAGAAUGAUAAAACUAUCAGAUUUCUCCCUAUCACAUUUUUCAAAAUAUUUCACCACAUCUGAAGAGGUAUUUUUCAUUCAUUUUCUGUAAGAUAGUAGAAAUGAAAGUGGUCUAAAACGCUAAAUAAAAGGGAUAUUGUUUGUAUUUAUUACUUCUUGAAUGCAGUGUAUAUUUAGAACUCAGAACAAUGGUUGUAUUUAGCCUAUACACUCCUUUUAAGAAAUUCACCCCAUGUAUGUGGGCAGCCUUAGAUCCUAGAUUCAUCACAGCUUCUAUUUGUGAACCAUUAGUUUGUAUCCCUCUUUUGACAACCACCUUGGAAAAUAAUUUCUCUCUCAUGCAAACCUGUCCCACCUUAUUGAAGGCCCACUGUAGCCUUUACAACUUAAAACAGUUCUCUGUACUGAAGUAGUCAUGUUACUAACUGCACGAAUGACACUAGCAAGUUAAAACAACGUGAAUUCUUAAUGUAUGUCGGAUUUAAAAUUCUUUUGAUCCCCGAUUUGUUGUGCUCAGCAUUGUAGUCUGUGCAAAGCAAAGUUAUUAGCUGAGAAAAUUAAGAUGUUUGAGUAUUCUAUAUUUCU
rnacentral:lncRNA from 1 species